AUGAUGCAAACAGAAAGUAUUUCUUGUACACGGGCCGGGCCGUUCCAAGCUUGUACCGGCGCUUCUUAUAAGGCGGAACAACCGGCACCCGUAAACCCGACGAAAGAAAAAAAGAAAAAAGCGGCGGCGUCGAGCGAGCAGCGAAGGCGAGGAACCCUAAAUCCCAAUCGGAAUCCUCAGGGGAUCCGGCGGCGGCGGAAGCUAGGAUUGGAGAGGCUCGGCGGGGAUCAGGCCAUGGCCACGGCGCUUCGCCACGCGGCGAGGAGGUUCGGAACCAGAGCGGCGGCGGAGGCGGAGGCGGAGGCGGAGGCUAUCAUUGAGCGUAGUCCGCUGUACACUAGCACACGGAUCGUCGAUUCCACCACAGGCCGUGACCUCACGCCCAAUCAGAGGAAAGAUGCCAUCUUCCGCUUGGCUCAAAUCCAUGCUCAGAAAGAGGACCUCUACAACACAAUCGCUGCCUGGCAAGCUGACUACACUGCUAAGGGCAAUGUAGUGACCCGGAAAAACAACCUUUUGCUCAAACAACUCUCUCAGCAUGUCAAACCUAGACCCGAUGACCCCCGCUGGCGCUCAAGUCAGCGGGCAGUAUACUUUAAUGAUUUCCUCAAAUUCACGGGGGCAGUUUUGAUCGGCAAAAUGGCAGGGGAUGCCUUUAGUCAGUACAAGGCAAAACAAGAUCAUGAUGGCCACAAGGGAUCAAGCUAG
rnacentral:rRNA from 1 species